AUUAAAAAUAGACCCACUCUGAACCUAUUUCAUCUGAUCUUGGAAGCCAAGCAGGGUUGGGCCUGGUUAGUACUUGGAUGAGAGACCACCUAGGAAUACCAGGUGCUGUUAGGU
rnacentral:rRNA from 1 species